rnacentral:rRNA from 1 species
AUUGAACGCUGGCGGCAGGCCUAACACAUGCAAGUCUAGCGGAUGAAGGGAGCUUGCUCCUGGAUUCAGCGGCGGACGGGUGAGUAAUGCCUAGGAAUCUGCCUGGUAGUGGGGGAUAACGUCCGGAAACGGGCGCUAAUACCGCAUACGUCCUGAGGGAGAAAGUGGGGAUCUUCGGACCUCACGCUAUCAGAUGAGCCUAGGUCGGAUUAGCUAGUUGGUGGGGUAAAGGCCUACCAAGGCGACGAUCCGUAACUGGUCUGAGAGGAUGAUCAGUCACACUGGAACUGAGACACGGUCCAGACUCCUACGGGAGGCAGCAGUGGGGAAUAUUGGACAAUGGGCGAAAGCCUGAUCCAGCCAUGCCGCGUGUGUGAAGAAGGUCUUCGGAUUGUAAAGCACUUUAAGUUGGGAGGAAGGGCAGUAAGUUAAUACCUUGCUGUUUUGACGUUACCAACAGAAUAAGCACCGGCUAACUUCGUG